AUUGAACGCUGGCGGCAGGCCUAACACAUGCCAGUCGAGCGGCUGAGGGGAGCUUGCCCCUGGAUUCAGCGGCGGACGGGUGAGUAAUGUGUACGAAUGUGCGUGGUAGUGGGGGCUACCGUCGGGUAACGGGCGCUAAUACCGCCUCCGUCCUGCGGGAGAAAGAGGGGGCUCUUCGGACUACACGCUAUCAGAUGAGCCUAGGCCGGAUUGGCUAGUUGGUGGGGUAGAGGCCUACCAAGGCGACGAUCCGUAACUGGGCUGAGAGGAGGAUCAGUCGCACUGGAACUGUGACACGGAGAGAACGCCUACGGGAGGCAGGGGGGGGGAAGAGUGGACGAUGGCGGAAAGCGUGAACCAGCGAUGCCGCGUGGGUGAGGAGAGGCUGCGGAUUGUAAGGGACUAUAAGUUGGGAGGAAGGGCAGUAAGUUAAUACCUUGCUGGGUUGACGUUACCAACAGAAGAAGCACCGGCUAACUUCGUG
rnacentral:rRNA from 1 species